CCCUUAGAUGUUCUGGGCCGCACGCGCACUACACUGAUGAAUGCAACGAGCUCUACCCUUGACCGAAAGGCCCGGGUAAACUUGUGAAACUUCAUCGUGAUGGGGAUAGAUUAUUGCAAUUAUUAAUCUUCAACGAGGAAUUCCUAGUAAGCGCGAGUCAUCAGCUCGCGUUGAUUACGUCCCUGCCCUUUGUACACACCGCCCGUCGCUCCUACCGAUUGGAUGGUCCGGUGAAAUCUUCGGAUUGCUGACCAAGAUCCAGCAAUGGAGCUUGGUUGCGAGAAGUUGAUUAAACCUUAUUAUUUAGAGGAAGGAGAAGUCGUAACA
rnacentral:rRNA from 1 species